UACGUAGGGGCUAGCGUUGUCCGGAAUCAUUGGGCGUAAAGCGCGUGUAGGCGGCCCGGUAAGUCCGCUGUGAAAGUCCAGGGCUCAACCCUGGGAUGCCGGUGGAUACUGUCGGGCUCGAGUCCGGAAGAGGCGAGUGGAAUUCCUGGUGUAGCGGUGAAAUGCGCAGAUAUCAGGAGGAACACCAAUGGCGAAGGCAGCUCGCUGGGACGUGACUGACGCUGAGACGCGAAGC
rnacentral:rRNA from 1 species